rnacentral:lncRNA from 1 species
GCCCCGCCCCCUCGCCCGGGCACGUGGGCCGGGGUCUGCGGGGCCAACCGCGGGCGGCCGGGGGAGGAGUCGGGGCCCACACUAGCGGCGCCGAGCACCCAGCCCCUUUGUCUCCCCCGCCCCCUCUUCCCCACUUCCUGCCCAGCUUUAAACUCGGGAUCCGCGGCGCGGCGCGGACUUUGUAAACACGCGGCGCCUGCGGGGGUGGAGACUGUUUGUGUUGGGGCGCCCGGAGGAGGAGCGCACGCCCCUCGGCUCGGCUCGAGGCGGUGGCGACGCCCCCCUCCCCAGAGGCAAGUCCGAGGCGGCGGGACGAUGAGGCCACAGUCGGUGCUCCGGGGGGCUCACCUGCUCUGGAGGGCUUCACACCAGGGAACCUGCUCUAGUGGGGCGUGGCCUGCUUGUACGGAGACUUCCUGCUCUGCAGUGAUGUUCCAUUCAGCUUCUGAGGGAGAUCUGCAGUCUCAGACCUGGUUGCAGCAUCCAGGCCACGACUGGACUGCCUGUGCUGAGAACUUCAGAGGCGCAAUACCCCACAUGAGAGGGGAAAGUGUUGCCAGAGCACUGGAGCGCACAUCCGAACUGGGGAGCUUGCUGGCUGUGGACCUUAGAAAUUUCUUUACAUUGUUUUUUAGCCUCCGUGUCUUUAUCUGCAAAAUGGGAUUACUAAUGUCUACCGUACAUGAUUGUUGUGAGGACGAAAACAGACAGGCAUUUCAAGCACUCAGUAAGAACUCUAUGAAUAGCACCUAUUUAUUAUGUCCAGCUGGCAAAGGGCUUUGUGGGCACUUCAAAAGCAACAUGUGA